AGUGCACUCAUAUAACAUGGGAGUCCACUGCAGACCGUGGCUGUUAGCACAGAACUCGUCCUGCAGAACCUUUACUCAGGCCUACGGGAAGCAAAGCGUGGAUGUAGAGCACAUAAUGCAGUGCUGAGCAAAGUGAAUAUGUGAAAUGGAAGGAGCAGCCGUGCGUGGUGGCAUGGAAAGAGCAGUGGGGACGGACAGAGAGCCCAUCAGUCACACUUGCUAGUGAGAAGGCUUUUCUACAGCUAGCAGGACUUGAAGCACCAUUUGGUCUACGAGGCAAGAAAAUCCCUGCAAAGCAAACCGUGCUGCCUUAGCAGCCAAACACAAUGACAGCCUCAGUCAGCACAGAAGCUCUUUAAUUCCAGUGCAGGGGCUCAGCACCAGCAGAACCAGCAGCACCUGGGCCAACGAGGCUCUCAGCCAUCCAUCCCCACUUGUGCUCCCCUCCCAGAUGGGGUCAAUUUGGCACUGAUGGCUGGGAGCCCACGGCAUCCAACCUGCUGGGCAGGCACUGCAGCUUGGUUGGGUUGGAGGUGAUUUAAACGCAUGGGAAGAGCCAGGGCUGCCUGUUUGUGCCUCCUGGAGCUGCUCAUCCUCUGCAAGCACUGAUGUUAGGGCUCUGCCUCGCUGUACUUAAAGCUUAUGGCUCACUACGCUUCGGAUUUGUCUCUCCAGCACUGGUUGCUCUGAAAUUUUCUUCCUGUGGGCCACAGAUGUUAAUUCCAGCUGUAUCCAAUCUAAGAGAGCGAGUCGGUGAUUUACAGAUAGGAAAAGGUGUUUCAGCUGGAAGCAGUCCAGGACCAGAGACCUCAGCCUCCUCACCCUGCUGGUUUCCAUCGGCAUCCCCUUGUCCUUGAGCUCGCCGUGGCCCAGCCCUCCCCACGCUGCUCCCCCCGACCUGCCUUUCAGCUGCGUUUCCCUCUUCCAUCCUCACUUCUCAUUCUAUUGCUUUGCUUUUGCGAUGCGCUCGGCUUCCUCGCUGCCAGCAGUGCUGUUUGUUUGAAUGGCUGAGAGCAGCAGGCGAUGCCCAGCGCCGUGCGUUGGCUGCGUGGCACCGACCCCAGCUCCCGCUGUUGCCCAUUGACCCACAUGGCACUUUGCUUCUAGGUUGAGGCCAAUUAUUCCCGUUGCCAUGGCGAUCCAGAAAUGGAGCUUUCCCACAUCGCAGAGCUCGGGUUUGGGCAAAGCUGGAGGUGCUGGGGUGGCUGUGGGCUCUUUAUUGCCCCUUUCCUCCCUCCUGGUGUGGGGAUGUGCGGAGCGGCUGUGGGACCACAUGAGUUCCCCACCCGAGCUGAGUCUGGGAAGUCAUAAUCUUAAUAUGAACAUCUUUAAAUAUCCCCACUAAUGGGCUCAUUCUUUAAUUUCCUGAAGCAAUGACAGCUUCAACAGACCCUACAUCAAAGCUAAGAUGGGAUCUGUCACUGAGUGGCUGAAUUAUAUUUCAUCCUUUAUUUUUAUCAGCUCCGCUGACUUAUUUAUUACAUUUAGAGUCUAGGCUAGCUUUUGUCUGGCCUGCGCUUCACUGCUGCUUGUGGAGAAAAAGCAAUAGUUUAUAAUGCCAUUUUCACAGCGUCCCCAUAAUUUGGGGCCCCGUCUGAGGCUUCAUUUUGAAUGAAACUCUACAGAUAAAACUGUUAUUCACGGCGAUGCCUGUGAAGUCCUUGGCAGACCCCGGGGAACACUGCCUGCUUGUAAAGGGCUUUCCCUCAGAUUUAUUUUUGUAGAACAAAGGGCAAUUUUCCCAUCUUCCCAGCAGCAGCCUACGUGGCAGAUGCUGCUCAGGGUUGCUAUCUUUCAGUGUAUUUGGGGGUUGUUUGUUAGACUGAAGACAAAUCCCAGGCUGUGUGGGCUUUGGGCUCAAGCUCUGGGAGUUGCCUCUGGAGUUUGCUGGCAGGUGGAUGUGGGGUCACCCCAUUGCCAGCCAGGAUGCUGAGAGCAAACACACAGUGGUGACCUCCAGCAGGGACAGGGAAAUUUCCGAGCAGAGACAGAGAGCAAUGAACCAUCCCCUCCCAGAGCGGCGUUGGGGAGUGGAGUCAGAGUGGUGAACAGCUUCCAGAGCAUCUCCUGAGACCCAGCGAGUGCCAGAGUUAAUAUAUUUAAUAUAUUUCGUGUGGACUCUGCCAGUCAUUAGGAAUGUGCUUGUUCUGUCAUUGCUCCGAGGCAGUCACGGUGAAGCAUUUGUCCUCUGAGUGCACGGGGAGAAAUUACAGUGCCCUGAGCUGAAUUGGUCAGCCAAAAAUAAUGUACGGCUUUAUCCUGGGAAGGAAAUUGGACAUUGAUUGGAGGACAGAAGUUCGGAGCAAGAGUUAAAGCAAAGUGACAUUUCCAUACAUUAGGGAAGCGGGUGAAGUCGGCCUUAUGCAGCGUAAAUCUCCGAGCUCUGGUGGCAUGGCUUUUGCCAACAGCCUCCUCCCAGCCCCAGCUCAGGGCGUUGCUGCUGCCCUGGGGCUCGUACCAACUGGC